rnacentral:rRNA from 1 species
UACGGAGGGGGCUAGCGUUGUUCGGAAUUACUGGGCGUAAAGCGCACGUAGGCGGCUACUCAAGUCAGAGGUGAAAGCCCAGGGCUCAACCUUGGAACUGCCUUUGAAACUAGGUAGCUAGAAUUCUGGAGAGGUCAGUGGAAUUCCGAGUGUAGAGGUGAAAUUCGUAGAUAUUCGGAAGAACACCAGUGGCGAAGGCGACUGACUGGACAGAUAUUGACGCUGAGGUGCGAAAGCGUGGGGAGCAAACAGG